rnacentral:lncRNA from 1 species
ACUGGUACUCCCUUGUAUGGUACCGGUACUCAACACUGAAAUCCUGCACUUUGCGGAUUUCAGCGUUAGAACUCCACUCUCGCCUCGCGUUGAGUCCGUUUUACAUCCAUUUCGCGCCAAAACGACUCCGACUUGUCCCGACACUCUCCAGAUGUGUCGACAAGCCCCAGAUACUGAAACCUCACAGGGAAAUUAAAAUACCAGGGACACUACAUUCAAUAUCAUUGACUUAAUAAUCAAAGCGUUUCAAAAUUUGUAAUUUUAACGAUUGCUAUGAGGCGUUUUCUCGUUUGACGGUGUAAAGAUAUCCAAAUUAAUUUCAUUUUGAUUAGAAAAUUCUUUAAACUAUUUAGAACAAAAUCUAAACUCUCGAUCUUGAUUACAAGACUCCUAUCAUCACUUUUAAAGAAUAUUCAUUUUCAACUGUUCAUUUUUGUGUCCACACGAUGGACAACAAAACAAUAUCGAAAAAGUAUAAAAUUUAGUUUCUACAUGCUUCAACAGGUAUAGAUCAUAUUCAAUGGUGCCGAUUGUCAAUUUGGAGGCCCUAUUAUCAAAAACAAAUGGAUAGCAAUGGGGGUCGUUUGCUAUCAAUAGUAUUCCAGCUUAACACUCUCUCUCUCUCUCUCUCUCUCUCUCUCUCUCUCUCUCUCUAUAUAUAUAUAUAU